rnacentral:rRNA from 1 species
AUUGAACGCUGGCGGCAGGCUUAACACAUGCAAGUCGAGCGGAGAUGAGGUGCUUGCACCUUGUCUUAGCGGCGGACGGGUGAGUAAUGCUUAGGAAUCUGCCUAUUAGUGGGGGACAACAUUCCGAAAGGAAUGCUAAUACCGCAUACGUCCUACGGGAGAAAGCAGGGGAUCUUCGGACCUUGCGCUAAUAGAUGAGCCUCAGUCGGAUUAGCUAGUUGGUGGGGUAAAGGCCUACCAAGGCGACGAUCUGUAGCGGGUCUGAGAGGAUGAUCCGCCACACUGGGACUGAGACACGGCCCAGACUCCUACGGGAGGCAGCAGUGGGGAAUAUUGGACAAUGGGGGGAACCCUGAUCCAGCCAUGCCGCGUGUGUGAAGAAGGCCUUAUGGUUGUAAAGCACUUUAAGCGAGGAGGAGGCUACUGAGACUAAUACUCUUGGAUAGUGGACGUUACUCGCAGAAUAAGCACCGGCUAACUCUGUGCCAGCCGCCGCUGUAAUAC